CUUGUAAUUGGAAUGAGUACAAUUUAAAUCCCUUAACGAGGAACAAUUGGAGGGCAAGUCUGGUGAACACUCAGCUAGUUCCAUCUGCUGACGCCAGAGAUAGUAGGGCUCCGCCUUUGUACGGGCGGGGUUAUGCCUGCUAGUCGAUGCAUCCACAAACAGCGAUGGGUGGAUGCCGGCAAGGUGACCUGGUACGGGGAAGCCUAAGGGCGCGACUUUCUAAAGGGAUGGUCGAGCACGCCUAUGGUAAUCCCGUGGCGAGCCGGAGCAAUCCGGCCGUCGUAACGCGCGGAAAGGCACCGGCUACUAUUGAUUUAGUGGCUCAAGGGACGUGCUGUCCCAUCCGAAAGGAUGCCUCAAACUGGAGCGCCCAUCGCGUAAAGGUUUGAGGGGAGGCCCCAAAGGCUUCUGGGUAAUGAUAAAACGGCCAGCAGCCGCGGUAAUUCCAGCUCCAAUAGCGUAUAUUAAAGUUGUUGCAGUUAAAAAGCUCGUAGUUGAACCUUGGGUCUGGCUGACCGGUCCGCCUCACCGCGUGCACUGGUUCGGCCGGACCUUUCCUUCUGGGGAUCCGCAUGCCCUUUACUGGGCGUGUCGGGGAACCAGGACUUUUACUUUGAAAAAAUUAGAGUGUUCAAAGCAGGCCUUUGCUCGAAUACAUUAGCAUGGAAUAAUAGAAUAGGACGUGCGGUUCUAUUUUGUUGGUUUCUAGGACCGCCGUAAUGAUUAAUAGGGAUAGUCGGGGGUAUCAGUAUUCAAUUGUCAGAGGUGAAAUUCUUGGAUUUAUUGAAGACUAACUACUGCGAAAGCAUUUACCAAGGAUGUUUUCAUUAAUCAGUGAACGAAAGUUAGGGGAUCGAAGACGAUCAGAUACCGUCGUAGUCUUAACCGUAAACGAUGCCGACUAGGGAUCGGGCGAUGUUAUCAUUUUGACUCGCUCGGCACCUUACGAGAAAUCAAAG
rnacentral:rRNA from 1 species